rnacentral:rRNA from 1 species
GUGGGGAAUAUUGGACAAUGGGGGGAACCCUGAUCCAGCCAUGCCGCGUGUGUGAAGAAGGCCUUUUGGUUGUAAAGCACUUUAAGCGAGGAGGAGGCCACCGAGAUUAAUACUCUUGGAUAGUGGACGUUACUCGCAGAAUAAGCACCGGCUAACUCUGUGCCAGCAGCCGCGGUAAUACAGAGGGUGCAAGCGUUAAUCGGAUUUACUGGGCGUAAAGCGCGCGUAGGUGGCCAAUUAAGUCAAAUGUGAAAUCCCCGAGCUUAACUUGGGAAUUGCAUUCGAUACUGGUUGGCUAGAGUAUGGGAGAGGAUGGUAGAAUUCCAGGUGUAGCGGUGAAAUGCGUAGAGAUCUGGAGGAAUACCGAUGGCGAAGGCAGCCAUCUGGCCUAAUACUGACACUGAGGUGCGAAAGCAUGGGGAGCAAACAGGAUUAGAUACCCUGGUAGUCC